rnacentral:rRNA from 1 species
UAAACUCUUUUGAGGGGAUGAAUGUCUGCGUGAAUAACGCAGAGUGACAGUACUCUCUGAAUAAGCCACGGCUAACUACGUGC